AGCACUUUAGACAUUUUCAAUCAUCCAAAAGGUCCACUUCUUCAAAUUUCAAUUUGUACUUAGUAUAUAUAAAUCAGCACAACUAUUAUAUACAAACUAAACAUAAAAGAAAAAAGGGGAAAGUGGAACGGGGAGAAAGGAAGGAGAGGAAAAGGGGACGCGUGAGAGAGAGAGAGUUCACAGAGGAGAAGAAGAGCGCGCCGGUCAGGGAGGGGCUAUUGCCUUGCCGCCACCAUGCUCUGCCCUGUCUUGCAUCGCCACUACGCCACAGAUCUGCCUUAAAGCCGCCGUCCCGAAUCAGAAUUGAGGUGAGAGAGAGAGAGUCCCGAAGGAGGAGGGAACCGUGCGUUGCCGCUGCGCCCAGUCGCGUUCUCAUCGUGAAGCCCAUGUCGCCAUCGAGCCCAAACGAGAGAGAGGAGACGCAGGCCUAAACCUCAAUGAGCUGGGAAGAACCACUGUGCCGUUGUCGUGGACACCGUCAUUGCCACCGUUGCUGGUAACUAUAAGUGGAACCCCUGUCGUCUCGCGAUUGGAGUUGCCGUUGUGUUGCAAGGGUGGAAUGGGCUGUGGUUGUGGCUGCUGAGAUUGUAAGCCAAGAGAAAAUGGAGCUUAUUGCGUAAUUAAGUCGCGAUCGAGAAUUUCUUUUUCAAUGACAGGUUCAGGAAGCUUUAGCGCAAAGUCAGGACCGACUAUAGAGUUUUAAUGAAAACAGGGAUAAAAAACCUCUUCUAUACGAUCCUAAAAUUGAAAGAACUUGUAGGAGAAACAGAGCACAAGUCAGAGCUCAGAGAGCUAUAGAAAUUCUCAGGGACAAAUAAAAAAAGGAAAUUGAAGUCAAUAUAGCAGACAACAAUGAACAUGCUAUUGUCAACAACCCCAAUAAUGCCCACCUGUUAGGAAAACUCUGGGGUCAUAUACUAACCCCAAUCCUGGGAAUUAUGUGGGAAGCAUAGUCCCACCGGUUGUGCAUGCCAACAAUUUCGAGUUGAAGCCUCAACUAAUCACUUUGGUCCAACAGAACUGUCAGUUUAGUGGAAGCCCUCAAGAGGACCCCAAUUUAUUCAUCUCCAAUUUUCUAAAGAUUUGUGAUACAGUCAAGACCAAUAGGGUUCCUGCUGAUGUUUACCAUUUGUUGUUAUUUCUUUUCAUUGUGAGGGAUCGAGAUAGUCAGUGGCUUGAGACAUAACCCAAAAAAAGUAUAGCAACCUGGGCAAAUUUGGUUAGUAAGUUCUUAACCAAAUUCUUCUCACAUCAGAGAUUGACUAAGCUGAGGACAGAUAUUCAAACAGCUCGAGGGUGAGUCUCUCUAUGAAGGUUGGGAGAGGUACAAAACUAUGGUGAGAAAGUGCCUUCCAGACAUGUUCGCAGAUUGGGUACAACUGCAGAUUUUUUAUGAUGGGAUCACUUCGACUUCAAGACUUUCACUGAAUAAUUCUGCAAGAGGUUCUUUGCACAUGAAGACCACUAAUGAAGCCUUAAAUUUGAUAGAGAUGGUGGCCAAUAAUCAGUACUUAUACUCUUCAGAAAGAACCAUGAGAAAGGGUGUCAUGGAAUUGGAUGCCUUAGAUACUAUUCUUGUUCAAAAUAAAGCCAUGUCUCAACAGAUUAAUGCCAUCACUCAACGUACACUUAGGAGGCAUGCAAGUUUCAGCUAUAAAUACCCAUGACACAUUAUAUGACAUGGGUGGCGGAGUGUCUCAAUUUGGAAGCUAUAACUAUGAGUAACCCCUUUCUGAACAAGUCAAUUAUAUGGGUAAUUCUUCAAGAUCACCCAACAACGAUCCCUUUCCAAGACAUCCAAUUUGGGAUGGAGAAAUCACCCAAAUUUUAGUUGGAAAAAUCAGAAUCAAAGGCAAUCCAACAACAACAACAAUAACAACAGCCACCAAGGCUCAUUCUCCCUCUGGCUCUGAUUCUCGACGGCGAUGGCAAGCCCCAAGCCUUGCCGGCGCCAUCCCCCUUCCCCUCUUCUUCCUUCCCCCCUUCCCCCUCGCGUGAUCCCCCCUUCUUCCCUCUUAUCC